CCAAAUUUGAUCCUUUUGCAAAGCAUGGAUCAAAUUAACAUGUUUUAUUUUAAAAAGUGUGCAUUCAGAGUUCGAAAUUUGAUCCAUUCUUUGCAAAAGGAUCAAAUUU
rnacentral:pre_miRNA from 1 species